rnacentral:rRNA from 1 species
UACGUAGGGUGCGAGCGUUGUCCGGAAUUACUGGGCGUAAAGAGCUCGUAGGUGGUUUGUCGCGUUGUUCGUGAAAACUCACAGCUUAACUGUGGGCGUGCAGGCGAUACGGGCAGACUGGAGUACUGUAGGGGAGACUGGAAUUCCUGGUGUAGCGGUGGAAUGCGCAGAUAUCAGGAGGAACACCGGUGGCGAAGGCGGGUCUCUGGGCAGUAACUGACGCUGAGGAGCGAAAGCGUGGGGAGCGAACAGG